GUGGAGGGGUAAUAGAUAUAUACAGGGAGUACCAGAUCAAUGUGGAGGGGUAAUAGAUAUAUACAGGGAGUACCAGUAGCAGAUCAAUGUGUAGGGGUAAUAGAUAUAUACAGGGAGAACCAGAUCAAUGUGGAGGGGUAAUAGAUAUAUACAGGGAGUACCAGAUCAAUGUGUAGGGGUAAUAGAUAUAUACAGGGAGAACCAGUACCAGAUCAAUGUGGAGGGGUAAUAGAUAUAUACAGUGAGAACCAGAUCAAUGUGGAGGGGUAAUAGAUAUAUACAGUGAGAACCAGAUCAAUGUGUAGGGGUAAUAGAUAUAUACAGGGAGUACCAGAUCAAUGUGUAGGGGUAAUAGAUAUAUACAGGGAGAACCAGAUCAAUGUGUAGGGGUAAUAGAUAUAUACAGGGAGUACCAGAUGAAUGUGGAGGGGUAAUAGAAAGUAUUGAGACUUUAUUCUAAAAUUGAUUAAAUU
rnacentral:lncRNA from 1 species